rnacentral:ncRNA from 1 species
GUUCGGAUUGAAGUCUGCAACUCGACUUCAUGAAGCUGGAAUUGCUAGUAAUCGCAGGUCAGCUAAACUGCGGUGAAUACGUUCUCAAGUCUUGUACUCACAAUAAAAGCGCGCAGCAGCUUAAUUUUCUAAAUGGUUCAAAUCCAUU